AUUGAACGCUGGCGGAAUGCUUUACACAUGCAAGUCGAACGGCAGCACGGGAGCUUGCUCCUGGUGGCGAGUGGCGAACGGGUGAGUAAUAUAUCGGAACGUAUCCAAUAAUGGGGGAUAACUAAGCGAAAGCUUGGCUAAUACCGCAUAUGCCCUGAGGGGGAAAGCUAGGGAUCUUCGGACCUGGCGUUGAUGGAGCG
rnacentral:rRNA from 1 species